UACAGCUGAUGCUUUGAGACUCUUACAAACGUGAUACCGAGCAAGACUUGACUUCUUCUCUUUGCUUAAUUCAAGUGCCAGACAACUUCUUCCCAGUCAAAAUGAACAUCCUGGCACGUCUCUCAAUUGUGGUCUUGCUUUCCAUGUGCGCCUUCAUAGCAGUAGAUGCCCAAAUACCGUUUCCAAUCGGGUUCGGGAGCGAGGAAAGAGGCUUUAAUCCAGCAUGUUUCCAGUGCUUGACAAGCAACGGCACGGACUCGGCCAGUUGUUUUUCAUGUGCCAUCAGUACAUUUUUCAGAAGAGGAGAUUAAGACUGACACUUAAUACACGGCUGCAAUUAGUAAUGUCUAUAUAUAAAAAAACUAAGAAUCCACUUGUAAAUACCUAUAUACUGUAAAAAUUCGACAAGAGAAAAUGUUUAAAUAAAUGAUCCUACAAGUAA